UGAAUACGAGAUGCUACGGCGUCGAAGCAGUCUAUGUCAUACUUCCAAGAAAAGCUCGCACUGUCAUAAACAAAUAAUGCCUGUACCAUAACCGACACAGGUGGGUAGGUAGAGUAUACUAAGGGGCGCGAGAUAACUCUCUCUAAGGAACUCGGCAAAAUGACUCCGUAACUUCGGGAGAAGGAGUGCCUUAUUUAUAAGGUUGCAAUAACAAGAUCCAAGCAACUGUUUAUCAAAAACACAGGUCUCCGCUAAGUCGUAAGACGAUGUAUGGGGGCUGACGCCUGCCCAGUGCCAGAAGGUUAAAGAAGUUGGUUAGCAUUCGCGAAGCUGAUAACUGAAGCCCUGGUGAACGGCGGCCGUAACAAUAACGGUCCUAAGGUAGCGAAAUUCCUUGUCGGGUAAGUUCCGACCCGCACGAAAGGCGUAAUGAUUUGGAUACUGUCUCGGAGAGGGCUCGGUGAAAUAGACUUGUCUGUGAAGAUGCGGACUACCUGCACCAGGACAGAAAGACCCUAUGAAGCUUUACUGUAACUUGAGAUUGAAAUUGGACUUUACUUGCGCAGUAUAGGUGGGAGGCGUUGAUAAUAUUCUUGCGGGAUUAUUUGACCCAUCAGUGAGAUACCACUCUUGUAAUGUUAGAUUUCUAACUUUGUAUCAUUAUCUGGUCAAAGGACAGUUUCAGGCGGGCAGUUUGACUGGGGCGGUCGCCUCCUAAACGGUAACGGAGGCGCACAAAGGUUUCCUCUGAACGGGUAGAAAUCGUAUCUAGAGUGUAAAGGCAUAAGGAAGCUUGACUGUGAGACCUACAAGUCGAGCAGGGACGAAAGUCGGUCUUAGUGAUCUGACGGUGCUGAGUGGAAAGGCCGUCACUCAACGGAUAAAAGUUACUCUAAGGAUAACAGGCUGAUCUCCCCCAAGAGUUCACAUCGACGGGGAGGUUUGGCACCUCGAUGUCGGCUCAUCGCAUCCUGGGGCGGUAGUACGUCCCAAGGGUUGGGCUGUUCGCCCAUGAAAGCGGUACGCGAGCUGGGUUCAGAACGUCGUGAGACAGUUCGGUCCAUAUCCGGUGUAGGCGUUAGAAUAUUGAGAGGAGCCUUCUUUAGUACGAGAGGACCGAGAAGGACAUACCUCUGGUGUACCAGUUAUCGUGCCAACGGUAAACGCAGGGUAGCUAUGUAUGGAGUGGAUAACCGCUGAAAGCAUCUAAGUGGGAAGCCCACCUCAAGAUAAG
rnacentral:rRNA from 1 species